rnacentral:rRNA from 1 species
CCUACGGGAGGCAGCAGUGAGGAAUAUUGGUCAAUGGACGAGAGUCUGAACCAGCCAAGUAGCGUGAAGGAUGACUGCCCUAUGGGUUGUAAACUUCUUUUAUAUGGGAAUAAAAUGUUCCACGUGUGGGAUUUUGUAUGUACCAUAUGAAUAAGGAUCGGCUAACUCGGUGCCAGCAGCCGCGGUAAUACGGAGGAUCCGAGCGUUAUCCGGAUUUAUUGGGUUGAAAGGGAGCGUAGGUGGAUUGUUAAGUCAGUUGUGAAAGUUUGCGGCUCAACCGUAAAAUUGCAGUUGAAACUGGCAGUCUUGAGUACAGUAGAGGUGGGCGGAAUUCGUGGUGUAGCGGUGAAAUGCUUAGAUAUCACGAAGAACUCCGAUUGCGAAGGCAGUUCACUGGACUGCAACUGACACUGAGGCUCGAAAGUGUGGGUAUCAAACAGGAUUAGAUACCCCAGUAGUC